CGUUGUUACACCAGUUCCCGUACGAUCAUCGAAGUUAAGCAACGUCGAGCCUGGUCAGUACGGAGUGAGCGCUUCGGAAUACCAGCUGGUGUAA